UGAGUAACACGUAUGCAACCUGCCUGCCACAGCCGGAUAAUCGGGAGAAAUUCCGUCUAAUACGGCAUAAUGCAUCGACGGGACAUCCUGUUGGUGCCAAAGGUUAAUUCCGGUGGCGGAUGGGCAUGCGUCGCAUUAGUUAGUUGGCGGUGUAACGGACCACCAAGACGACGAUGCGUAGGGGUUCUGAGAGGAAGGUCCCCCCACACUGGUACUGAGACACGGACCAGACUCCUACGGGAGGCAGCAG
rnacentral:rRNA from 1 species